GCCCCCUGAUCACGUAAAAAUUUGCGACAGCCACAAUUUUGCAGAUGUUGUGCAGACGCGUCGCGACCGAUCGCAAAACGUCAAAUUAUUUCGUAUCACGUACCGCGAUUGUUCGCUUACCGCUUACUGCAGUUUUCUGUCAUACAACUAGCGCCAGUCGCAAUCGGGUAGCAAUAAUUGGCACUAAAAAGCCACAUUACUUUUUUUUUUGCUGAACAAACCGGCAAAUGAAUUUAUAAAAGCGCGUUACAUAUAAACAUUUCAAAAUGUUUAAGUGGAAUUCACGUUUGAAACGCCAAGUGAGAGCUGCUUAUUCUGUUCUUUUCAUUGAAGCGUUACUAAAAAUAAGUGAUCUAAUAAUAAUUUUUGCUUUAUUCUGAAUAAUAGCUAUAAAAAUGUAAUUGUGUCAUGUCAAACACUGAUAACAUUUUUUUUUGUAAUCGUUUGAUAAUUUGUAAUCAGAUAGUUGUUUACGUUACGAACCUAUUUUAAAAAAGAAUGGAUCAAAAUUAUAGCCUAAUUUAUUAAUUUCAUUAUCAAUUAACCCAGUUUUUCGUCGACGAAGCCAUCUUAAGAGAAGCUUCAUUGCAAAUAUCAGGCCGAUAUUUAACUAUAGCGGAUAACAAACAAGAGUAGACACAUCGUGAGCUGUAGUUGUAGAAAGAGGAGAAAAUGGAAACUAAGGCGAACCACUGGCUCAUGCAGCUUUCAUUUCAGCAGAGGCUGCUCGUACGCAAGCAGAGGCCGCGCAUCUUCCAGCUGAGAUAUAUAAAAAAAUUCAAGGAAUUGACCAAUAUCGGCAAAAACCUUGUUUAAAAUAAUAAGUUCAAUUUUGUUUUAAUUUUAGCUGAGUCCGUAAUAGUUUAUAUUACCAUAAAAACGAAAUAGCGCUUGUUACAAUAGCCAAGCAAAUCCAAAUAUAUACGUUUUACUUUAGGCUGGUACUACAGUAAAUUUUAUAACACUAA